rnacentral:rRNA from 1 species
AUGGCUCUUUUGACGGCAGAGGUGACUUGGUUACGGUGGUUACUUCAGGAUUUUGGUGUUUCUGUCACUACAUCGACUCUGCUUCUAUCUGACAGUACAGGUGCUAUCAGCAUUGCACGCGAUCCUGUGAAGCAUGAGCUCACCAAGCAUAUUGGUGUUGAUGCUUUCUAUGUGCGUGCUGCUGUGCAGGAUCAGGUUAUUGCUCUUCAGUAUGUGCCUUCCGAGUUACAGUUGGCGGAUUUCCUGACGAAGGCUCAGACUAGAGCACAACAUGGCUUUUAUCUCUCCAAACUCAGUGUUGUUCCUCCACCAUGA